UACGUAGGGUGCGAGCGUUAAUCGGAAUUACUGGGCGUAAAGCGUGCGCAGGCGGUUUUGUAAGACAGGGGUGAAAUCCCCGGGCUCAACCUGGGAACUGCCUUUGUGACUGCAAGGCUUGAGUGCGGCAGAGGGGGAUGGAAUUCCGCGUGUAGCAGUGAAAUGCGUAGAUAUGCGGAGGAACACCGAUGGCGAAGGCAAUCCCCUGGGCCUGCACUGACGCUCAUGCACGAAAGCGUGGGGAGCAAACAGG
rnacentral:rRNA from 1 species